rfam:Triticum aestivum genome assembly, contig: Triticum_aestivum_CS42_TGACv1_scaffold_472862_6AL
AUGUUACUCCCUCCGUCCGAAAAUACUUGUCAUCAAAAUGGAUAAAAAAGGGACCCUUUUUUAUCCAUUUUGAUGACAAGUAUUUUUGGACGGAGGGAGUACGUG